GGAAGCCUGAGACAAGUGGACGCCAGAGCGCAGCCGCAAACGACAGAAAAUCGUUGUCUGCCCCCUGCUGGCCGGAGACCGUUAUCUUGGGAUUAUCCUUGGUGCAUUGCCUCCAAUUUUAGGAAGACUUUGGAUGAUGCAGUUCCCUCUGUGGUUCAUGCCAGAAUCCUUCACAAAUGAAGCAGCAUGGAACAAAAUGGAAUAGAAAAUAUUUAAGGGCAUUGUACUUGGACGACAGCAGAGCACAUGGCAUGUAGUAAAGGCUAGGUCCAACAAGUCUGUAUUAAGGAAAAUGAUGACCAAAAAAAAAGGACAAAUAAACUUGGGAGCUGCUGCUUCUAGGUAUGGCCAUGAUGGAAUAAGAUGUAUCAUACCAUCCCACUGCCAUUAACUGUAAAACUGGAAAAUUAUGUAAAGCCACUUUUCAGGAAAUUGAUUAGUUAAUGUGAAAAAGAAACUCAAUGAUGAGAAAUUAACCCUCUUUCUCUACUAUGAUGAAUUUUUUUUUUUUAAAGAAGUCUUACUCAUAUUUUGGAAAUGGCUAGUGAGAGUGAAAGCUGAAGACAGAGUAUUUCAUGGUCUUGAUUGAAGCAACAGUUUCCCUAACAUAAAAUUCAGCUUGUAGACUGUUAUAAUAUGGAUUACAAGUGUCUGCUUUGAAACCUGGGAACUGCAAAACAUGUAGGGUACAGUGGCAUUUCCCAGGAGCCACAUGACAUGUAACAUCACAGCAGAAUGGAAUGCAGAAACAGGUAUGA